AAUGCUUGGCUCACGUCUUGCGAUUUUAUGAGUGUAAUGUAAAUAGGUUCACGAAUGCAAUUGGAGGGCAAGUCUGGUGCCAGCAGCCGCGGUAAUUCCAGCUCCAAUAGCGUAUAUUAAAGUUGUUGCAGUUAAAAACUCGUAGUUGGAAUGGCAGUGUGUGCUGGCGAGCAUAGAUAAAGUAAUGCUUGCCGUGUGUGUGCACACUGGGCAUACGACGGGGCGGCCAUUCAGUUGGACUGCCGGCCGUGUAUGCCGACACGUUACUUUGACGAAAUUGGGGUGCUCAAAGCAGGCUCUGUCAGCCUGAACAUUUUAGCAUGGGAUAACACUGGGAACUGUCCUAUUUGUUGGUUACAUAGGUUAGCUCUUUGGUUAAUAGGGGCAGUUGGGGGCAUUAGUACUUGGAAGCUAGAGGUGAAAUUCUUGGACUUUCCAAUGACUACCUAAUGCGAAGGCAUUUGCCAAGGAUGUUCCCGUUAAUC
rnacentral:rRNA from 1 species